UCUUCUCUCUCUAAGUCACACUUAGAGAGAGAAGCUCUCCCUUCUCUCUAAAAGUCCUGCCGGAGAAGAAAGUGGAGGUGGUGGUUCCGGCGCGGCGGCCGGCCGGUUUCCGGCGGCGGCGCCACCGCGCCGGAAAAUUCAAACUUAAUUUUCUUUCAAAAUUUUUACAUCAAAAGUUCCGUCACCACCUCCUCUACACAAAUCCGGCGUUAGUUUUAGCGAGAACGGAGCGAUUCGGACUAGAUCUACAUUUUUUCUUUGAAAAUUUUUCACACUUUUUUUGAAAAAAAACUACGGAUCUAGAUAUCCUUUUCUCUCUAGAGUCUGAAUCCGGCCUCAAAGUUCUCAAAAUCCGAACACAAAAGCCUAGAUCUACAAAUCCGUAACAAACUUUUCACAUGCAAUUUCAAGCAAGAACGCGCGGAAAUGGCUUAGAAAGGAAGGAGAAACGCGUUACCUCUGUCGUAGAACGGAGAAAAAAGAUAUCCGGAAAACUUCGAAUCUCUCCUCUUCUCUUUCGCGCGCGCGCUAUUGCCUCCGUUGAUGUGGUUUCUGCUCGAAAAUCCGGUACGAUUUGGUGUUGAUGUGAUGAUUCGCGGUGGUUUUGAGUGAAUCCGGUUCGGAUUUGUUGAUUUUGUGGUGGUUGGGGAUGAUUCUGAGCAGAUCCGGUUUAGAUCUGUUGAUUUUGGUAAUGAAGUGUUCUUGGUGUUCUUCCUCUUUUCUCAGCUUUUUUCUGUUUUGAUUCUGUUAUGGAUGAGAGAGAGAAAAAGAUUCUGUUUGAGAGUGAUUGUGAUUGAUUCUGAUUUUUUUUGACUGAUUGUGAUGGAUCUGACACAUUUACUAUUUAUAGGCUGCCAUGUGUAUUGGAGACCCAAUGGAAAAUUGACACCUGGACUGUUUUGGACUUAAGGACUAAUCUGCAAAAAAGUUAAUAUGAGGACUAAUCUGCAAAAAAAAAAAACUAAAAAAAUGCAAAUAAAAAAAAUAAAAAAAAGAGUAUUGGACAAAAAUGCAAUUUUGGGAUCUGUUUAGGGACUAAAAUGCAAUUAAAAUAAAAUUGGACUAAAAUUGGCAAAUUGGACAAAAUGUAAAGAGAAACUGAAAUUUUGACAGGAAAAGACAAAAAUGCCCCUAG
rnacentral:lncRNA from 1 species